rnacentral:lncRNA from 1 species
AUGACAGCGGCUCGGGACAGGCUCCUUUUCCGCGCCCCUCCCGCCGGAGGUGAGGGGAAGAUGUCCAUGUCAGGGUUCAAGGCCAGACUGAAGUUGCUGGCCUCUAUCUUCCAGGAGAACCAGGAGCCACAGCCGCGGCUCACGCCCCACCGCAACAUUAAGAUUACAAGUGGACACCUGAGUCAGCAGGACCUGGAAUCCCAGAUGAGAGAGCUUAUCUACACGACUCAGAUCUUGUUGUCACCCCCAUUAUUGACAAUCCAAAGGUGCAGAAAGCACUCUGACAAAUAA